CUCGUUUCCUCGCCUCGCUGUUGUGAAAUGGCUAGUUAGAAAGUGUGAGAGAGACAAUGAUCGUCUCUGCAUGACGCCGCUGGGACCCCACUUCAGUCCCCCGACACCUCACGCCGUUUCAGGCAAUUGGCGAAUGUUUAGAUGUUUCUGUCACGGCUGUUGAAAGGAGAGGACCAAGGUGCAGCGUGCGUUUAACGAGAUAAUCCCUACUCCUGCGGACUUCAUGAAAAAAAUGCAUUAACUUAAUCCAUGACAACAGUUGACAGGAACACAUCACUCAACAAGGAUAUAAACACCUGGACAAUGUAGAUCAAUUCCAAUGCCAUCCACAACCUGCAUACCCAAAAUGUAGAGUUGAGUGUCACCAACAUCUGGGAAUCUGGCAUUAGAAAAUAAGCAGUAGGUCUGUAAAUUCUUUGGAGACCUUUUAUUUCUUUCUUUAUUUUGCUCUGCUGUUGAGCUUUACCAGUGUCCUGCAGUGUUGUCCUGUGUGCACAGCUGCAGGGGCUAAGGCUUGCCCUUCCUUUUGUGGCAUCCUGUCACAAUGGCUGCAACGAGAGCUAAAGUUAUUGCAGCUGCAAGGCAAUUAUCGGCAGCCUUAAAUCAUUUUUCAGCUUUCAUGCUCGGGCGAUAGUGGAGAGUAGAGCUUUGAAAUGGUGUUUGUGUAAUUAUGAGGGUGACUGGUUCCUCGGACAGAACAGACAGUUCUUAAAGGCCCAAUGCAGCUGUUUUUAUAACAAUAUCAAAUAAUUUCAGGGUAACAAUUAAGUGCUUUACUGUAAUAUCUUUCCAUUAAAAUUGACAAAAGUACACUGAACAAAACACAACAUGUAAAGUGUUGGUCCCAUGUUUCAUGAGCUGAAAUAAAAGAUCCCAGAAA